CUGCUCAGUAACACGUGGAUAACCUACCCUUAGGACCGGAAUAACCCCGGGAAACUGGGGAUAAUACCGGAUAAGCCAUAGACGCUGGAAUGCCCUAUGGUUCAAAGCUCCGGCGCCUAAGGAUGGAUCUGCGGUCUAUCAGGUUGUAGUGGGUGUAACGUACCUACUAGCCGACGACGGAUACGGGUUGUGAGAGCAAGAGCCCGGAGAUGGAUUCUGAGACACGAAUCCAGGCCCUACGGGGUGCAGCAGGCGCGAACACUUUACAAUGCGGGAAACCGCGAUAAGGGAACCCCGAGUGCCAGCAUCAAAUGUUGGCUGUCCGGAUGAUUAAAAAUCAUUUGUUAGCAAGGGCCGGGCAAGACCGGUGCCAGCCGCCGCGGUAACACCGGCGGCCCGAGUGGUAGCCGUUUUUAUUGGGUCUAAAGGGUCCGUAGCCGGCCUGAUAAGUCCUUUGGGAAAUCUGGCAGCUUAACUGUCAGGCUUCUAAGGGAUACUGUCAGGCUUGGGACCGGAAGAGGUAAGGGGUACUCCAGGGGUAGGAGUGAAAUCUUGUAAUCCCUGGGGGACCAUCUGUGGCGAAGGCGCCUUACCAGAACGGGUCCGACGGUGAGGGACGAAAGCUAGGGGAGCAAACCGGAUUAGAUACCCGGGUAGUCCUAGCUGUAAACGAUGCUCGCUAGGUGUCAAACACGGUGCGACCGUGUUUGGUGCCGCAGGGAAGCCGUUAAGCGAGCCACCUGGGAAGUACGGUCGCAAGGCUGAAACUUAAAGGAAUUGGCGGGGGAGCACUACAACGGGUGGAGCCUGCGGUUU
rnacentral:rRNA from 1 species